UUUGGAGAUGAUUUCAACUUUUAACUUGAUAGCGCGCUCGACCGCCAUCUUGGAUUUCACUCGUAAGAAAAAUACAGAAUAAAAGACUAAUCUUUUCGAAAUCUUCGAGCUCAUCCAUCAAAACGAAUCCAUAGUCUCCUCCUUCGCUUAUCCUCUGGAUUUGAGAUCCUUAGGAAGGCGAAUUUGUGGAGGCUUCUUUUUUCCUUAAUAGCAGUGUUCCCACAGGCAAAAUGUUUACUUAUGGUAAUUAGGUUUUACCGAAAGGGGACUCGUUCAAAUCGUGCGCGCAAAAAGCGGAAAUUUUGAAACUAGUAGGGAGCCUUGUAAAAUUCAUUAAAAAUGAGGUUUUAACCAAAUAAAAAAGGUUUGAUUAAGAUUGCAGAGAAUAUCCGUCUCACGUACUUAAGUUAUAUGUAAUUAAGUUAUGACGGGACGUUUUGUGAAAUCGGCGUUUGGUGCUCUUCUGUUAACCCCAACCGUAACCACAAUUCUACCAGAAACUUAUUGUGAUAUAUUAUUGUUAUUACGUUUUAACAGUGAGUAUAGCUCAUAAAAAGUUGAAAUUUGAACUGAGGGAGGCGCUUUCCGAGGUUGUCGAAACUUCCGCUGGGGAUGACCUACUGGUGGACGGCCACAUCACUGUGCUGCAUAUAAAUUAUCCGGCAGUGAAGGGCAAUCACCAGUCAAUGGUGCUAGCUGCUGCGUCUCAGCUUUUCGGCACAAAACUUAAAAGAAGAAGAAAGAAAAGGGUGUAAUUAUUCAUGUACGUGGUCCAUGGCAAUGUUUUGAUUCCAUCGUGGUAUUAGUAACUCAUUAGCAUAGAGUUUUAUGAUAGAUUUUUUUUAUUAAAUACCCCUUGCAGUUAGAAACUGAAUUACAGGUAAUUAGCACACACAAGCUAAGCGAUUACAACAUUACAUUAUCAAGAUACUUAAAAGUAACAAAAUUUGACAAGCGAUUAGUGUUGCAUAUUUUCGGUUUCAUGGGAGCAGAUCUUCUUAGAGUGUACUGGUUGACUCCCUUGACCGACCUACUAGUGGCUAGGCAUCUCUAGUCUAGUAUCGAGCAUACAGGCAUCUCUAGUCUAGUAUCGAGCAUGCAGGCAUCUCUAGUCUAGUAUCGAGCAUGCAGGCAUCUCUAGUCUAGUAUCGAGCAUACAGGCAUCUCUAGUCUACUAUCGAGCAUACAGGCAUCUCUAGUCUACUAUCGAGCAUGCAGGCAUCUCUAGUCUACUAUCGAGCAUGCAGGCAUCUCUAGUCUAGUAUCGAGCAUACAGGCAUCUCUAGUCUAGUAUCGAGCAUACAGGCAUCUCUAGUCUAGUAUCGAGCAUGCAGGCAUCUCUAGUCUAGUAUCGAGCAUGCAGGCAUCUCUAGUCUAGUAUCGAGCAUACAGGCAUCUCUAGUCUAGUAUCGAGCAUACAGGCAUCUCUAGUCUAGUAUCGAGCAUGCAGGCAUCUCUAGUCUACUAUCGAGCAUACAGGCAUCUCUAGUCUACUAUCGAGCAUGCAGGCAUCUCUAGUCUACUAUCGAGCAUGCAGGCAUCUCUAGUCUAGUAUCGAGCAUGCAGGCAUCUCUAGUCUACUAUCGAGCAUACAGGCAUCUCUAGUCUACUAUCGAGCAUACAGGCAUCUCUAGUCUAGUAUCGAGCAUGCAGGCAUCUCUAGUCUAGUAUCGAGCAUGCAGGCAUCUCUAGUCUAGUAUCGAGCAUGCAGGCAUCUCUAGUCUAGUAUCGAGCAUGCAGGCAUCUCUAGUCUAGUAUCGAGCAUACAGGCAUCUCUAGUCUAGUAUCGAGCAUACAGGCAUCUCUAGUCUAGUAUCGAGCAUGCAGGCAUCUCUAGUCUAGUAUCGAGCAUGCAGGCAUCUCUAGUCUAGUAUCGAGCAUACAGGCAUCUCUAGUCUAGUAUCGAGCAUACAGGCAUCUCUAGUCUAGUAUCGAGCAUGCAGGCAUCUCUAGUCUACUAUCGAGCAUACAGGCAUCUCUAGUCUACUAUCGAGCAUGCAGGCAUCUCUAGUCUACUAUCGAGCAUGCAGGCAUCUCUAGUCUAGUAUCGAGCAUGCAGGCAUCUCUAGUCUACUAUCGAGCAUACAGGCAUCUCUAGUCUACUAUCGAGCAUACAGGCAUCUCUAGUCUAGUAUCGAGCAUGCAGGCAUCUCUAGUCUAGUAUCGAGCAUGCAGGCAUCUCUAGUCUAGUAUCGAGCAUGCAGGCAUCUCUAGUCUAGUAUCGAGCAUGCAGGCAUCUCUAGUCUAGUAUCGAGCAUACAGGCAUCUCUAGUCUAGUAUCGAGCAUACAGGCAUCUCUAGUCUAGUAUCGAGCAUACAGGCAUCUCUAGACUAGUAUCGAGCAUGCAGGCAUCUCUAGUCUAGUAUCGAGCAUACAGGCAUCUCUAGUCUAGUAUCGAGCAUACAGGCAUCUCUAGUCUAGUAUCGAGCAUGCAGGCAUCUCUAGUCUACUAUCGAGCAUGCAGCUAUGCAGUAAUACAUUUUUGUUUUCAGGCGGUUCUACAAAAACUUGUGUCUUCGUGGUAAAUCAAAAGAGGAAUCCACUGAUCAGAUCCUGGUAGGAGCCAAUCCUCAUGAGUCGCCGCGUAAUAAAAUUACUAGAACAGAUAAGGCUGAAUGGGGGACUUGCGCUAAGAGAUCACGUGACCUUUCUGGGUGGCAAAUUCAAGCCAAAAUAACUGUCGAAGACGAGGACUACUACCACGGAACCACCGGAAAAAAACGCAGAAAUCAUGGGAGUAGUAAAGUAAGUCUAUCUAUAGGGUGGAUUCCAGUCCCCCGGCCGCGCGGUCGUGGCGCGUUCUGAUUGGUUGUUGAAAAUAGCGUGCUGUGAUUGGUCGGAUUUGAUAGGGCGGAAGUGACGUCACAGGUGAACUUUGGACUUGGGUCUUUGGACUUUAGGGGAGGGGUGGUGAUUGGUGGGAUUUGAUAGGGCGGAAGUGACGUAAACAGUCCACACCAUAUUUAGAAACAACAUGGAUACAAGGGUCCAUUAAAAGAACGUUAUUUAUCAAGUAUCUAUCGUAGUGUUCUUAGCGUUCCCAUUAGCCUUAGGUCAUUAUGACUUGGUGAAGGUGUUCGGUUACCUGUGGUAGCGGACUGUUCUUGGGGUGGUUUUGGGUUACCUGUGGUGGUGGUGGUAGAAGCAGUAGUCUAAUUUUGGGAGGGGGGUGGUUGCGAUGAGCUACUCCUGUUAUUCUCGGCUUAGCGGCUUGUACAAAAGUGUAUAGUUCUUCCGUGUGCCGCGACAUGUACCGGAAGUAGGCAAAGGAUUGUAGAGAAGCAAAGACACGUGGCGCCAGUGAACCCGUUUGCAUACCGUUCAGUCGUCGAAGGUUCAUUCUUCGAAUGACGUUCAGGAUGCGUUCGGAGAUGUUGACCGAGAGGGGGUUGCUAUUUACCAGUGGGAGUGCUUGUUCUAAAGCUCUUAUUACUCAUGGAUGUAGUCUAAUGGGGGUAGAGUGCUUCGGCAAGAAAGCGAUUCUCGAAGAUUACGCAUGUACUCGUGGUGCCCCAAUUCGUAGGCUUCUCGUUUAACGUGACCUUCAGGGGGAGGGGGAGGAAUGACGUUUUCGGUUGUCCAAUGGUAAUCGUUGUUUUAAGUAAAUCUGUUGUCGUUGUCGAUGUGUAGCCACAGCCAGAUCUUAUACUGGGUUAUAUUUGGUUUUCAUUUGGGGUCGUCAAGACAGGGCGCUGGGGGAGUAGGAGUUCCAUGUCGUGUCUUUUCUCGCAGUUGGUCUCACGGGUAGCUUGUGUUCGCAUUGUUGGCACAUCACCCCAAUGUGGAAGGGGUGCUUGAGGUGAGCGGGGUAAAUGUUCAAGAAUUGUUUGUACCGGUUUAUGGCCGAUUGAGCCUUUCGUUUCUCUUCGAGGACAAUUUGGUCAGCGGGGUGAUUUUCGUUCUUGGGGGUAAAAUCACUGGCUAUCCACAGGAUUACUUCUUGGUUCCAUGGGUGGUACCCCUUUCGACAGUGUGGACAGGGUUGCUUACAGGAGGGGAGUAGUUCCAUGAGUUCGUCAUCUCCUUCGCAACAGAUAAUACAAGUCAUAUGGUCAGCCAUGUUGUUGUUCAUGGUGACUUGUGAGAGUGUGUGAGCUGGUGUUCUGAUUUUAUACUGUUCUAAAAGGAUGACGUCAUCGUAAGGAGCGUUUUCUAUUGGUAGAAAUUCGAAAUUCGGCACCAAGGGGGAACACUCUUGCUCACCGCACCCAUAGCACAGGUUGUUACACUUGUGAUUUCUUCGAUCGUACCCCUUUUGACAGCUCGUACAAUAAUAACAUCGGCCAAGCAUCCCCGGCAUGCUAUUGAUAUAAUCAAAAUGUCCCUUGACGUAGUAGAGGUAGAGCCUGUACUCGGGAGCAGGUAAGUUUCCAGAAUAGAUCACCGUGUUUGCGUGUUCCCUCGACACCACGUUAAGCUCGAAGCCACGUUCACCCAGAUAGCGCUGAAAUUGCUGGAUCUCGGGAAGACCACACGGCCCCUCGGGAACUCCCGCAUCGCGGUGCAAUGCUCGAGCGCGCUCCGUCUGCAAGGGAAGUCUAGCGCCACCAUCUUUUGGGUUGUACAACUUAACAUAGUCAGGAUCCUUAGUGAGCCAUUCCGAUCACGAGUGCUCGAGAUGCGCAAAGUUCGUCGUGAUUCCUAACGCGCGUGAUGCUCUUUUUUCCCUUAAGCCAAGUCUCUAAAUCUCCCGUAUCCAGGGAAGAGGAAUUCUUCUUAGACUUUCCCCGUUUCCCAGCCCCAUAAGGCAUGUGCGUGCGUACGACAUGGAGAUCGAAAUUACCUUGCAACACAAACUGCUCGUUCGAUUGCACCACGGUCUCAACGACACCCAUAAUGCGUUGAGGGGUGAGUUGAUGUCGCCGCAUAACUGUAAAGCAAUGGGAUUCUUGAGAGCAGGGGCAUCGAGAGUAAGGCGCGCGUAAUCGUGAUUUUGCACCCCGCGUAGCGUGUCGUCGAGGACCCGGUCUAACACCCGCUCCACAUCCUCCAAAGCUUCCUUGAUAGUACCACGAGUAGGUAGAUCGACCGACAGUUCGUAAUCGGUACAGUCAGUACGCAUUUUGGUAGAAUGUCGAGUAGUCACUUGACGUAAAUCAUACGUAACACCGUCCUUUUCCUCCUCCUCAUCACUAUCAACGGGGCGUUUCUUUCCACGACCUUCUUGUUGUUUUUGCAACCCAGAAGGCCCAGGUUCGUUCAAAAAAGGAUCGUCAAACGUAAUCUCCUCCCCCUCCCCCUCUGGGGUGCAAUAAUAGUCAAACAAUUCGUCAAAGGAACUAAAUUGAGGUAAGUCAGCGAGAUCAUCGUGAAAAAGAUCAGGAGGAAGUCGUUCACUCUCUUCUUCUCCUUCUUCUUCGGGAUCAGGAUCAACACUUCUAACAAUUGGGUAAGCCACUCAUCAUCAUCAUCAUCAUCAUCAUAAGCCAUGGCGAAGUUCGCCAAGAACAAAGUGAAAUGCGAGUGAAAAUGCUACCUCUUUUAUAGAACUCUUAUCCAAUCAAAAAGCUUGAAUUCUAGUAAGCUCAAAAAACUUUUUUCUAAAAAAUAAACCAAUCAUUUUCCAUUUUCAACCUUUUUUCUACCCUCUAAUUGGACAAAUAAAAAUACUUAACCCAAUCAGGGGCGUUCCCGAUGAUCUCAUCGAUACACAGGGUUCCCGUGACCAUUAUUUUUAUUUUUAAAAACACUCUAUACUGUUUAUAAUAACAUUUAUGACAAAAAAGCAAAAAGAGAGGGGAGGGGUGGGUAAAAAAUACGCCACGACAUCAUCGGUAUGACGUCUUCCGAUACAUAGGGUUACCGUCACCAUUAUUUUUAUUUCAAAAACCCCUUUUAACCCAUAACAACAAAAAAGAAUAAACAGAGGGGGAGGGGUGGGUAUAAAAAUAAGUCAUGACAUCAUCGGUAUGACGUCUUCCGUUUUCCAAACCUCUGAUUGGUCAAUACAUCCCUUAGCCAAUCAGAAGCGUUCCCGAUGAUCUCAUCGAUACACGUGACCUACUUGAAGGUCUAUAAAAGACGACGACGAGCCGGGACCACUUCACAGUCAGACCAAGACUCAAAAACAAUUAUUCAAAAUAAUUAUAAUAAUAAUAAUAAUGGAAUGCAUAAUUUGUAAAGAAGAAGAAAUAAUGGAUGUGAUCCAAUGCUGUAAGCAAACUAUGCAAAACCGGUGCCUAAACGACUGGUACAAGGUACAAGAAUACCGAGGUAUAGAACCCACGUGCCCUCAUUGCAGAAGAAGAAGAAGGGCGCAACAGCAACAACAAACUAGAGCACAGCCUACCCCUGUGAUUGUAAUUAGCGACGAUGAAGAUGAUGUUGGCUAUGUAAUAAACUACAGAGAUGGGUGGGGGGUAGAGGACUGGAUGGUACGGGUCAAAGAAGAAGAUAAAGGGACACUUUUUUUAAAAAAACAUUUUUUUAUUUAAAAUUGUUAUUUAAUACAAAUGGUUAUUAAUAAAACGUUUAUUACCAA